UUUUGCUUUUACUCUGUCUCUUCACUAAUAGAUGCUUGAACGCGAACCUUUCUAUUUGAUUUUCACACUUUAAAAUUACUCCCAGGACCUUUUUUUUAAUUUGGGUCACUUCUCCAUUUUCCUCGUGUUAUUUUCUUCAUGUGCAAUUAAUCAUAUAAGAAUCUCUCUUCAUAAAUAAAUAAAAAAGCCAUAUUUUUCCCUUUUCAAGCAAAUUAUAACAGCCAACUCCCUAAAAACCAAACACUCAAACGAUUGCUCAGCUUUCUGGGCGAUUGACACCAUCCUUGAUCCGUUUGCUUCUUCAGCAUGCUAGCUCACCCAUCCCUUCUCGCUCUUUCUCCCCUGCCGUCCUCUACUCCUCGAGCCACUGGCCUCUGUCGCUGCCUCCUGCUUACACUGCCGAUCCUCAAAUUGAUAAAUGGCUGCCUCAUUUCCGGCAAGAUCGUCCGCUCCUGUGCUCUGCUACGUUUCCAAUGCCAGUCGCUCGCUGGUGGCCCACUCUCCCUCACGCAACCGUCCCCCGAUGCAUCUCAUUGGGCUAUGCCCUACUGACAAGGCUCUACGGAGGCCGACAUUUCUGCAAUGAAUUGACCCAUGGAAACUCUAUGUUUCUUCGAGCUUCUACUAAAGUCAUUCUCUCGGAGAGGAUCGCAGUUCCAUUAAUGGAGUUUGGAUGAAAUAGGCUGUUUAUGGACUCAUGCUUUGGCUUAGGCAAUUCACCUCCUUAUCUCAGAUAAGCUAUGUUCAUGUUGGAUGUUCUGCCCUAUCCUUUGUACCGUGUAUGUAUCUAAGAAGUUGGUUUAGCUUGUAUUUCUUUUUUUCUUUUUUUCCUUUUUCCGCCUAGCAAGUGCCCGACAAAAUGUAGUUCCCAAUUUCUUAUAAAUCUAAGUAGGAUUUUAAAAUCAGAUUUUUAUUUUGAAAAA